rnacentral:rRNA from 1 species
UGCUCAGUAACACGUAGCUAACCUACCCUUAGGUCAGGCAUAAUCUCGGGAAACUGAGUCUAAUACCUGAUAGGAGAUAUACCCUGGAAUGAUUUAUCUCUGAAACUCGUGCCUAAGGAUGGGGCUGCGGCGGAUUAGGUUGUUGGCGGGGUAAUCGCCCACCAAGCCUAUGAUCCGUAAGGGCUCUUAGCGGAGAAGCCCUGAGAGGGAAUCUGAGACACUAUUCCCAAUCCUACGGGAUGCAGCAGUUAGGAAUAAUCUGCAAUGCGCGAAAGCGUGACAGUUUGAGCCAGAGUGCUUCUCAUUGAGAAGCUUUUGCCAAAUGUAAAAAGUUUGGCGAAUAAGGACUGGGCAAGACUAGUGCCAGCCGCCGCGGUAAUACUAGCGGUCCAAGUCGCAGCCACAUUUAUUGGGUCUAAAACAUCCGUAGCUUGUUAGGUGAGUUUUCUAUGAAAUCCCGGGUCUUAAGCUCGGGGCGAGUGGAAAAUACUGCCUAACUAGAGACCGGAAGACGCAGGAAGUACGUCCAAAGUAGCGGUAAAAUGUGUUAAUCUUGGACGGACUCACAAUAGCGAAGGCAUCCUGCGAGGACGGUUCUGACAGUAAGGGAUGAAGGCUAGGGGCGCAAAACGGAUUAGAUACCCGUGUAGUCCUAGCAGUAAACACUGCACACUAAACAUUA